UGAGCUCCUGACACCGGGAAAGAUCCAAAAUUGUAAAGGCGUGAAAAAAAUAAUUACCCAGGAAAACAGAAAGGGAUACAGUAAAUUUGACAACCUCCGUGAUGACGCGCAGCGACAUUGCACCAUUGCUUAAGGAGAGCCCUGGACUGUUAAUGUUUUAAAAUGCAAAAGUGCUUUUUAUCUGAUUACUCGAUUAAUUGCCAGAAUAAUCGAUAGAAUACUCAAUUACAAAACUAAUCGAUAGCUGCAGCCCUACACAAGACAAAGUCUUUCAGCAUAAAAGUACAUAUUUUUAAUGUGUGACAGCAUCCUGUAUCGUAACAGAAUCUGUUUCAAACAAACCAAAUCGUGUGCAAAUCGGGUAAAAAUUUGGGGAGUUAUGCAUUAUUGUAGUUUGGGAUAACAACUUCCCCAGUACAAAUAAAUGCACUGGGGGUGCAACAGGGAACCCAUCCAAGAUGGCGGCCACGCUGAACGUCAGCUGUACAGUCUAUGAGGUGUCUAUGUAUGUAAUGUCUAUGCUGAAAACCCUCAAGAUUUAUGAUUUUAAUAAAUUUGUGUCACAUUAACAGUUAAAUAUUUUUUAGGAAAAUUGUGUGAACUGAAAAGCAGGUUUUCUUUUAUUCUUUGACAAAAUAAUUCAACAGUGUCUCUGCAGAACAAUAUUGUGUCAUAACUUCCAAAAACUGGGAAAUAGUUAAUUCUUUAAUACUCUUCUCAUAGUUGUGUGUAAUAGAGCAGGUAGGUAGUUCAGUACAUUAAUCCAGCCUGAGUAUUCUAUAACCAACAUAAAAUUUAUGGUGGCCAUCGGGGUGACAGCAAUAAACAGGUCGGAGUCAUUAAAGAAUAACACACGAGUCAACAUUUAAAAAUGCUGCAUCACAAUUUGCCAAAAUUGGAAGUUUUAUUUUUUGACCCCUGUGUAAGCCUUCAUUGGCCCCUACAUUAUUUGGCUGUUACAUGAAGCAGCAGGUACUUUAAAUUGCCCACAUCACAGCUUUUUGGUUUUGUUUUGUUUUUUUUAAGGGUUGCAUCUUUAAACUCAGGAAUGAAUGUACAGGUGUGUCUGAAAAAAUAACUAUGAAAAAGAUAAAUAUUUUUGUCACUUAUUUCAGAAAGUGUAAAUGUUAUAUAUUCUAGACCCAUUACACACACAUUAAAAUGUUUUUUUUUCCAUUUUAAAAAUUAUGGCCAAAUACUAAUUUUAAUGAUUAGUCUAAAUACCAUGAAAGUAAAUGUUCCGAUGGCUGUGGGAGAUUUUAUGAGCAUUUUUAAUUUUGUUCCUACCUUUUCUGAUUUGAAGGUUGUAUUACUUGACUACAGCUACCUCUCCAGAAUGACUUUCACACAUUUUUCUGGAGGUCUUGAUAAAAUGUUAGACUCAGUUGUUUAUUAACCUCAGGUGGUAUCAUCAUAACUGUCUGUGUCCUUGGACUAAAAAAAACUUCAUGUGCUUUGUCUCAGUCCACCCAGCUGUAAAUGGGUACCAACUUUAGCUGAGGAAGUAACCCGAGUCAGACUGUUGUUCCAUCCAUAGGGAGUCAGACACUCAUCUGUUACGUCCCAUGGAAUCUGGGGAUAAGCACCGACUGUGAACCUCAGGAUCUGUACAAGACUAUGCUAAACUGACUUGGCCAUUAGGGUUUGUCUCCCGCAUGGAUCUGUUUGUGCCUUAAGUACCAGUUCAUGUGACUGAAACUAUGCUGACAUUCUUCACAGAGGUUGAGUCUUACACCAACAAAGUCACGUUAGUGGGCUUGACCUGGGUGAUGUCAGCCAACAAGUAUAUGAGAGCACGUCAUCCAGCAUUCAGUCCAUUUUGGAAUCUACUGCCGAGACGCCAACUGACAUCCGAAAUUCAUAGAACCGUAGUUACGUUUGUAACUCUUGUUCCAUUUCAUUCCUCCUGACCGCCAGAGGGCAGUGCUUAGCACAUGAAUGACCUCAUACCAACAAGGUCACGAGGAGGCUGCCCAAGUUGCUGUUGCACAGAUGUCGAUCAGUGGAACAACUGUUAGGGCAGCCCAUGAAGUGGAUAUGCCCAGGUUGAAUGACUAUUGUCUGUUUCACACAUCCCUUUUUUCUUUUCUCUUAUUGCACAUUUUAUUUUACCUGCACAUUUCAUUACUGUGAAUUAUUCAGUGUUUAGUGUAUAUUUAUACAUGCCGUACAGGGAGAGUGCAGCUCAAACCAAAGUCAAAUUCCUUGUAUUCUGUCGAUACUUGGCAAUUAAAGCUAUUGUGAUUCUGAUUCACUGUGGACACGUUGGUGAAUUUUUAAGGUUGAUAAAUGACUGAAAGAUUUCCCACACUGGUCACAGGUGUACGGUUUCUCUCCACUAUGGAUGCGUUGGUGUUGUUGUUGGUUCGAUAAGUGACUGAAAGAUUUCCCACACUGGUCACAGGUGUACAGUUUCUCUCCACUGUGGAUGUGUUGGUGUUUUUGUCUGGCAGAUGACUGGCUGAAAGAUUUCCCACACUGGUCACAGGUGUACGGUUUCUCUUCACUGUAGAUGCGUUGGUGGCGUUUUAGGCUUGAUAACUGGCUGAAAGAUUUCCCACACUGGUCACAGGUGUACGGUUUCUCUCCACUGUGGAUGCGUUGGUGAAUUUGAAGGGUAUUUAACCGGCUGAAAGAUUUCCCACAUUGGUCACAGGUGUACGGUUUCUCUCCACUGUGGAUGCGUUGGUGUUUUUGUCUCUCAGAUGACUGGCUGAAAGUUUUCCCACACUGGUCACAGGUGUACGGUUUCUCACCACUGUGGAUGCGUUGGUGGUAUUUUAGGCUCGAUAAAUAG